rnacentral:rRNA from 1 species
UGGGGAAUUUUGGACAAUGGGGGAAACCCUGAUCAAGCCAUCCCGCGUGUGCGAUGAAGGCCUUCGGGUUGUAAAGCACUUUUGGCAGGAAAGAAACGCCAUGGGUUAAUACCCCGUGAAACUGACGGUACCUGCAGAAUAAGCACCGGCUAACUACGUGCCAGCAGCCGCGGUAAUACGUAGGGUGCAAGCGUUAAUCGGAAUUACUGGGCGUAAAGCGUGCGCAGGCGGUUCGGAAAGAAAGAUGUGAAAUCCCAGAGCUCAACUUUGGAACUGCAUUUUUAACUACCGGGCUAGAGUGUGUCAGAGGGAGGUGGAAUUCCGCGUGUAGCAGUGAAAUGCGUAGAUAUGCGGAGGAACACCGAUGGCGAAGGCAGCCUCCUGGGAUAACACUGACGCUCAUGCACGAAAGCGUGGGGAGCAAACAGG